UUCCAACCUGUUAUUUUUUGCUGUGGAGAAUUUUUCUGUCAGCCUCCCUGUCUGCUUUUCAGGAGGUUACUAAAGAAAGGUGGAAUGGAAGGUAAGACAGAUCCUUACCUUUGUAAAGUAAGUUAUUUUUCAUUAUUCUAAAAAUAAAAAUUCACCCUAGGACAGACACUUAACUGUCUCCAUCUCAGCUGAAGUUGAAAGUUAUGCAGUUGUGUACCAGCAAUAUCCUAAUACUUUAAAUUCACCACAAAAAACAAAUUCAUGGGCUUGAGAUGCACAGAUCCACAAAAAUCUUAAUAUGUGCACUUUUUUGGUAGAGCCAAGCCAGCUGUGACUGCAGUGACAAAAGCAGAUGUCAGAGGUGGAGAAUAAGGGCAGAUCUGCUUCCAGUGUGCAGAAAGGGUCACUGCCAGAGACACAAGGCAGAAGAAGGAACCAGCUGCAGUCUAAGCUCAGAGCAUCAUGUCAAAGAGCACAGAAGUCAGCCCCUGCACUGCACACAGGCUGUUCACAGCAGCACAUCCUUCUGAUGGAGCUCAACAGGAAUUUUCUGCUGCAUGAGGAGGAAUACCCUCUAAGGCUGGGUGUGAGCUGCUGGCCCUGGGAGUGCCGAAGAGCCAACGUGCCCCACACUGCCACGACUCAGUGCAAGACCCCAAACUGCAGAAACCUCUGCUGUGCCUUGCUUUUGGGAGGACAAGUUCUGCAUGAGAACCAGGAAGGUGUUGAAAGGAGCAGCUCUCAAUUCUGAACAACCUGAGAACAAGGACUGUAAAGUGUGCUCCACACAUUUAACAGAGGCAACAUGACAGAAUGUCUGGAUUUAUCCUGACCAGGAAUAAACAAUUGAGUCCUCUGAAUCUCA
rnacentral:lncRNA from 1 species